rnacentral:rRNA from 1 species
UACGGAGGAUCCGAGCGUUAUCCGGAUUUAUUGGGUUUAAAGGGUGCGCAGGCGGAAGAUUAAGUCGGUGGUGAAAUUUUGCAGCUCAACUGUAAAAGUGCCAUUGAUACUGGUUUUCUUGAGUGUGGAUGAAGUAGGCGGAAUUUGUGGUGUAGCGGUGAAAUGCAUAGAUAUCACGAGGAACUCCGAUCGCGUAGGCAGCUUACUAGGCCAUAACUGACGCUCAGGCACGGAGGCGUGGGGAUCAAACAGGAUUAGAUA